rnacentral:rRNA from 1 species
UACGGGGGGAGCAAGCGUUGUUCGGAUUUACUGGGCGUAAAGGGCGCGUAGGCGGCCAGCACAAGUCAGUUGUGAAAUCUCCGAGCUUAACUCGGAAAGGUCAACUGAUACUGUGCGGCUAGAGUGCAGAAGGGGCAACUGGAAUUCUUGGUGUAGCGGUGAAAUGCGUAGAUAUCAAGAGGAACACCUGCGGCGAAGGCGGGUCUCUGGGCCGUAACUGACGCUGAGGAGCGAAAGCAUGGGGAGCGAACAGG